GUGGGAAACUUUUUCUCUCUGUGAACUAAAAUCUUUUAAAACUUUUUCUCUCAGCAAACUAAAAUAUUUCAUUCCCCCAUCUUUUUUUGUGAGGUUUUAAUCCUAAAACCCAUGGUCCUGCUUAUUGCCUGAGAGCCUGAUAUUGCUGAUUAAGAACUAGGGCUUGGGUUAUGGAUAAGCAUUCUUUAAUAAAUCGGAGUAGGUGAUUAAGAAUAUAUAGCCCAAAAGUAAGCAGCAGUAAAAGAAUAAGUAGGGGUCCUAAGAGGGUGGAGAUUCCUUUAAACCAGCCUUGUUGGAACUCCCGUUCCUUUCACCAUUGGUUGAGUCUUUCUCUGAGCUUGGCCAUGGAAUCCCUAAUAACUCCAGAAUGGUUAACAUAGAAACAGCACUCCUCUUUUAGGGCAGCAUAGAGUAAUCAUGGAAUUGUUGUCUCUCCAGCGUCCCCAUCAGGGAGUGAGAGAUAUGAACUUGUCUACCUUUCUAGUUAGUUGUUUAGGUAUAUCUGGAUCAUUAUCUUCUUAUAGAAUAUUACUUAAAGGAUUUAAAUCAUCAUUAGAUAUCCAAAAAAAUACUUAACCAAUGAAUAUUUCAUAACAAUUUCUAAAAAACUCAUUUAAAAGAUUUUUAAAUUAUCUUUUUUAAUUGUUAUCUAUUAAGCCCCAAUUUCUUUAGAAUAUAACAUAUGUCUUUAACAGUUCUCUAGAUUUAUUUAGAGUUUUUGAGUAGCCUUUUCUAAUCUAAUCUUUGAGGCUGACAAGCUGAUAAGACCUCACCUGCAUGUUAGCUGACCUGCCAAGCUGUGAAUCUAACAGGUUGGCUCUUUUUUGAGGCUUCUCAUAAAUCCUUCUCAAAAUCAUGUAUCAACCCUUAUUUUCUAGAUGUCCUUUUUUGACCAUAAAAUUUUAGUAAGACCUACAUCCUCUCAUCUGCCAAAUUUUAUAGUAUCAUGGAUUCUCAUAUCUCCAAGCUAAUGCUAUAAACUUUUGCUAACUUUUUAAUUGACUAU
rnacentral:lncRNA from 1 species